GUAGGUAGGUAGGUAGGUAGAUAAUAUCAUGAUGGGUUUUUUUUUCCAGGGUGAGGCUCAUCCAUUGCACCUGAAGAGGUGUGCUGGCCCAUGUGAUUUUCCCAAAUGUGGAAAACUCAACUGCAUAAUUUGUGACAUUGGGCAACUACGUUUGUGCUUUCCCU
rnacentral:snRNA from 1 species